ACAUUUUUUUAAUAUAAAGUGUACAAAAAUAAUUACUUAAACGCCAAACAAUAUGUCGUUUUAAAUCAAUAAAUCACCUUGAGUAAAUGUCAAAUGGUAACGACUGAGAUUCAAACCCAUAUGCCUUAUAACUUGCGCUUACUUUUCUUAUAUUCCCAUUAAAAUGAUCUUAAAAUUUAUCAACAAAUUCCAAGAGCUCAAGACACAAUUCUUUUACAGAAGUCUCACUCAGAAAUAAUUCAUUGGUUUCAUAAAAAUGGUUUCAAUAUAAAUGCUUCCAAAAAACCUAUGUAAUAUUUUUCUAUCUAGAUAGGCACUAAAAAAGUUUGUUCUUGUUAUAAUAUUAUAUUGUUUUAAAUGUUAAUUUUGUUAAAAACUUAGAAGUCACAUUUUAGCCCAAUAUGUCCUUUCCACUCAUUGAUAGUAAAAAACUUUUAAGUUGCUAGGCUUUAUAUCUCACAAUACCCAGAAUUUUAAUAUUAUAGCCUUUAAGCAACUCUAUUGAUCCCUUGUCUGUUCUAAUCAUGAAUUCUCCUCUCUAUCUGUAUCCAUAUCUUCUCUGUCAGAAACAUUGUUCAGAAAAGUUCGAAGCAAAUUAUUAAUUGAAUCUUCUUCAAAUUAAAUAUUUCUUACCGUUCAUAUUUCCUUAUUUCCUAUUUGUAACUAACUUAUCUUUAUUAGAAUCUCGUGUUUAUUUAUAAAUUAUUACAUUAAUCAAAUUAUUAUCCUUUACUACUUACUCAAUCCUAAAUUUUUGAGUUCCACUCAGUAAUCAAAGACAUUCCAUUUUUUAAUUCCUCGUGAUUAUCUUCUUCAUUCUGGUAUCAACAGACUCCAGAAAAUAGUUAAUAACUUUAUUCCAAAGUUUCCAUUAAUAGAUAUUUUCAGUAAUUCCUUACAAACCAUCAGAUCAUAUCUUCUAGCUAUUCAAAAUAAUUAGUUUUAACUAUUUUUAAAAAAUUAUAAUUGUAAGUUUUAAUUAUCACCGCUUAGUGGAAUAGAGAUUUCUUCGUAUGUGGAUUUUCAUAAGCUCAAAUCUGUACGUACAAAUUAUAUAACUUCCUUUAGUUAUUCGUUCUUUCAAAAUUUUUUUUUUUUUUUUUUGAAUCUGUCCUGAGUGCGGCCUGCGGGGGAAGCAGACGCCCGACCGAGGAGCCAGGCAGCACGGGGUUCAAAACUUUAUAUUAUAUUUGGUUUACCCAAGAAACCUAAACCCAUACUUGUUGAUGACUACUGCCUUAUUAAUAUUAUUCCCUCACUGACUAAACUAUGUAAAGCAUUUGAGAAGAUUUUAUUUUAAGAAAUAUAUGUAUUAAUUGACUUCUA